rnacentral:rRNA from 1 species
GGCGUGUGGGAUGAAAGCCCUUCGGGUUGUAACCCACUUUUGGCGGGGGCGAAAUAUCGAGUGCUAAUACCAUUCGGUGAUGACGGUACCCGCAGAAUAAGCACCGGCUAAUUACGUGCCAGCAGCCGCGGUAAUACGUAGGGUGCAAGCGUUAAUCGGAAUUACUGGGCGUAAAGCGUGCGCAGGCGGUUAGGUAAGACAGAUGUGAAAUUCCCGGGCUCAACCUGGAACUGCAUUUGUGACUGCCUGACUAGAGUCCGGCAGAGGGGAGUGGAAUUCCGCGUGUAGCAGUGAAAUGCGUAGAUAUGCGGAGGAACACCGAUGGCGAAGGCAACUCCCUGGGCCUGCACUGACGCUCAUGCACGAAAGCGUGGGGAGCAAACAGGAUUAGAUACCCUGGUAGUCCACGCCCUAAACGAUGUCGACUAGUUGUUGGACGGGUUACUGUUCAGUAACGAAGCUAACGCGUGAAGUCGACCGCCUGGGGAGUACGACCGCA